AUUGAACGCUGGCGGCAGGCCUAACACAUGCAAGUCGAACGAGUGGCGGACGGGUGAGUAAUGUCUGGGAAACUGCCCGAUGGAGGGGGAUAACUACUGGAAACGGUAGCUAAUACCGCAUACCAUCGGAUGUGCCCAGAUGGGAUUAGCCAGUAGGUGGGGUAACGGCUAACCUGGGCGACGAUCCCUAGCUGGUGUGAGAGGAUGACCAGACACACUGGAACGUGGACACGGUCCAGACUCCUACGGGAGGCAGCAGUGGGGAAUAUUGCACAAUGAGCGCAAUCCUGAUGCAGACAUGCCGCGUGUAUGAAGAAGGCCUUCGGGUUGUAAAGUACUUUCAGAGAGGAGGCGUUACUCGCAGAAGAAGCACCGGCUAACUCCGUGCCAGCAGCCGCGGUAAUAC
rnacentral:rRNA from 1 species